AGUGAACGCUGGCGGUAGGCCUAACACAUGCAAGUCGAACGGCAGCACAGUAAGAGCUUGCUCUUACGGGUGGCGAGUGGCGGACGGGUGAGGAAUACAUCGGAAUCUACUUUUUCGGGGGGGAUAACGUAGGGAAACUUACGCUAAUACCGCAUACGACCUACGGGUGAAAGCAGGGGAACUUCGGACCUUGCGCGAUUGAAUGAGCCGAUGUCGGAUUAGCUAGUUGGCGGGGUAAAGGCCCACCAAGGCGACGAUCCGUAGCUGGUCUGAGAGGAUGAUCAGCCACACUGGAACUGAGACACGGUCCAGACUCCUACGGGAGGCAACAGUGGGGAAUAUUGGACAAUGGGCGCAAGCCUGAUCCAGCCAUACCGCGUGGGUGAAGAAGGCCUUCGGGUUGUAAAGCCCUUUUGUUGGGAAAGAAAAGCAGCAGGUUAAUACCCCGCUGUUCUGACGGUACCCAAAGAAUAAGCACCGGCUAACUUCGUG
rnacentral:rRNA from 1 species